rnacentral:rRNA from 1 species
UGGGGAAUUUUGCGCAAUGGGGGAAACCCUGACGCAGCAACGCCGCGUGAGUGAUGAAGGCCUUCGGGUCGUAAAGCUCUGUCAGAGGGAAAGAAGUGUGAGAGGGUUAAUACCCCUUUUACUUGACGGUACCCUCAAAGGAAGCACCGGCUAACUCCGUGCCAGCAGCCGCGGUAAUACGGAGGGUGCAAGCGUUGUUCGGAAUUAUUGGGCGUAAAGCGCGUGUAGGCGGUUUUUUAAGUCUGAUGUGAAAGCCCCGGGCUCAACCUGGGAAGUGCAUUGGAAACUGGGAGACUUGAAUACGGGAGAGGGUAGUGGAAUUCCUGGUGUAGGAGUGAAAUCCGUAGAUAUCAGGAGGAACACCGGUGGCGAAGGCGGCUGCCUGGACCGAUAUUGACGCUGAGACGCGAAAGCGUGGGGAGCAAACAGG